AUUGAACGCUGGCGGCAGGCCUAACACAUGCAAGUCGAACGAGUGGCGGACGGGUGAGUAAUGUCUUGGAAUCUGCCUGAUGGAGGGGGAUAACUACUGGAAACGGUAGCUAAUACCGCAUACCCUCGGAUGAGCCCAGAUGGGAUUAGUUAGUUGGUGGGGUAAAGGAUCACCAGGGCGACGCUCCCUAGCUGGUCUGAGAGGAUGACCAGCCACACGGGAACUGAGACACGGCCCAGACGCCUACGGGAGGCAGCAGUGGGGAAUAUUGCACAAUGGGCGCAAGCCUGAUGCAGCCAUGCCGCGUGUAUGAAGAAGGCCUUCGGGUUGUAAAGUACUUUCAGCGGGGAGGCGUUACCCGCAGAAGAAGCACCGGCUAACUCCGUGCCAGCAGCCGCGGUAAUAC
rnacentral:rRNA from 1 species